UCAUGAAUCAUCCAAAAUUAUUGCACAGAAGACGACUGUUGCUGCUUUGCGCCAUAUUAGACAAAUAGCCCAAGAAACUAGUGGGGAGAUUCAGUAUGGAGGAAGCCAACAGCCUGCAGUCUAGUCAGAAAUUGUGCAGGGGGUUUAAUGAUGCUGUGAGUGGAUUGGUGGA